rnacentral:rRNA from 1 species
UACAGAGGUCUCAAGCGUUGUUCGGAUUCAUUGGGCGUAAAGGGUGCGUAGGCGGCGCGGUAAGUCGGGUGUGAAAUCUCGGGGCUUAACUCCGAAACUGCAUUCGAUACUGCCGUGCUUGAGGACUGGAGAGGAGACUGGAAUUUACGGUGUAGCGGUGAAAUGCGUAGAUAUCGUAAGGAAGACCAGUGGCGAAGGCGGGUCUCUGGACAGUUCCUGACACUGAGACACGAAGGCCAGGGGAGCAAACGGG